rnacentral:rRNA from 1 species
AUUGAACGCUGGCGGCAUGCCUUACACAUGCAAGUCGAACGGCAGCACGGGGCAACCUGGUGGCGAGUGGCGAACGGGUGAGUAAUGCAUCGGAACGUACCUUUCAGUGGGGGAUAACGUAGCGAAAGUUACGCUAAUACCGCAUAUUCUGUGAGCAGGAAAGCAGGGGAACGCAACACCUUGCGCUGAUUGAGCGGCCGAUGUCAGAUUAGCUAGUUGGUGAGGUAAAGGCUCACCAAGGCGACGAUCUGUAGCGGGUCUGAGAGGAUGAUCCGCCACACUGGAACUGAGACACGGUCCAGACUCCUACGGGAGGCAGCAGUGGGGAAUUUUGGACAAUGGGGGCAACCCUGAUCCAGCCAUGCCGCGUGAGUGAAGAAGGCCUUCGGGUUGUAAAGCUCUUUCGGCCGGGAAGAAAUCGCACGGGCUAAUACCCUGUGUGGAUGACGGUACCGGAAUAAGAAGCACCGGCUAACUACGUGCCAGCCGCCGCAGUAACAC